rnacentral:rRNA from 1 species
UAGGGAAUUUUCGGCAAUGGACGAAAGUCUGACCGAGCAACGCCGCGCGAGUGAAGAAGGUUUUCGGAUCGUAAAACUCUGUUGUUAGAGAAGAACAAGGACGUUAGUAACUGAACGUCCCCUGACGGUAUCUAACCAGAAAGCCACGGCUAACUACGUGCCAGCAGCCGCGGUAAUACGUAGGUGGCAAGCGUUGUCCGGAUUUAUUGGGCGUAAAGCGAGCGCAGGCGGUUGCUUAAGUCUGAUGUGAAAGCCCCCGGCUCAACCGGGGAGGGUCAUUGGAAACUGGGAGACUUGAGUGCAGAAGAGGAGAGUGGAAUUCCAUGUGUAGCGGUGAAAUGCGUAGAUAUAUGGAGGAACACCAGUGGCGAAGGCGGCUCUCUGGUCUGUAACUGACGCUGAGGCUCGAAAGCGUGGGGAGCAAACAGG